rnacentral:rRNA from 1 species
UACGGAGGGUGCAAGCGUUAUCCGGAUUCACUGGGUUUAAAGGGUGCGUAGGUGGAGUGGUAAGUCAGUGGUGAAAUCUCCAAGCUUAACUUGGAAACUGCCGUUGAUACUAUCAUUCUUGAAUAUCGUGGAGGUAAGCGGAAUAUGUCAUGUAGCGGUGAAAUGCUUAGAUAUGACAUAGAACACCGAUUGCGAAGGCAGCUUACUACACAGUUAUUGACGCUGAGGCACGAAAGCGUGGGGAUCAAACAGG